rnacentral:rRNA from 1 species
AUGCCAAUCGUCCCGCCAGCGCUUGGUCCUUUGCUCGGAAAUACUGUCAACACGGUCAUAAGUCCAUUCUAUACGCUCUUCUCCACAAAUGCCACGUAUUGCUUCACCGCUCGCACAAACGUGAGGAAUCACAAGACUGAAACUGAGACUUUGAAAGGCAACUUACAUAGUAUCAAACAGAGAAUUACAGAUGGCGAAAGGAAUGGCCUGAUACCAACGGAAGAAGCAAAGGAUUGGGUGCGAAGGGCGGAGCAAGCCAUAUCUGAAGAAGCGGCAAACCGCGAGUCUUUUGAUCAGAGGUGCAGAAUCUUUGGGUGCUCCAUGAAUUGCUGGGGAAACUAUAAAACCAGCAAGGAAGCAGCUGAGAAGGUGCAUGCUGUGAGAACAUAUAUCAGUAGCACACCUCAACCCAAUAAUAUCACACGCAUACCACCUCCGCCUCCUGUUGUAGAUUUGUCCACCCACUCUGCUCAACUUCCGCCAAGCAGAGAGGAUACUCUCAACAAUGCUCUCAGGUGCAUUACGGCAGUGGGAGCCAUUGGAAUAUGGGGUCCAGAUAGAGAUGAGAAAACACAUCUUCUCAAGAAGAUCAACGAUUCAUUUCUUGAGGAAUGCCCCUUUGAUUUUGUCAUCUUUGUUACAGCCUCCAGUGAGGUCUCGGUACAAGCUCAAAUCGUAAGCAGGCUCCGUACAGACGCGGUUCCUGAUGUGGCAACUCAAGCUACCAGGAUAUCUGAACUGCUCAGCAAAAAAAAAUUUCUGCUGUUGGUGGAUGACCUUCGUGUGCAGCUAGACCUUCAAGCAGCUGGCAUUCCAUAUCCUCUUGGAGAUGUGCAAGUUGUGGAAGCCGGGCAAGUUUCUCGCUGGGUGCAGAGGAAAGUGGUAGUCACAUCAAUAUCACAAUCCAUAUGUCAUCUGAUGGAUGUAGAAAGGGAUAUACAUGUGCCUGAUUUGGGAGAGGAUGAAGCACGCCAGUUGUUUGCAAAAGAAUUUGGUGCGCAGGAUAUUUAUUCUGAUCCUGUCAUCGGGGCUCUUGCAGAGCAACUUGUAAGAGAACUAAAAAGCCUGCCAUCAGAUUUGAUACGUUAUGGGAAGGUAAUGCAAGGAAUAAGAGAUGUAAGGCGGUGGCAAGAUGCAAUUGAUGCCGUAAGGAAAGCAAACCUUCGAAGGGACGGCGACCCAUUAAAUUUGGCGGAAAAGAUUGUGAGAAAUCUCAAGAAUGCGACAGAAGACCUGAAUGCCAAGGGGAAGGAUGUCCACCGGGAGAUCGCGGAUGCUGAGCUACAACAUAAUAAAACACCAACGAAUGAGGCGAAAAGAUGGCUGCAAAAAGUGUAUAACAUCAUUCAUGAUGUACAAGUGAUGUCUCACGGUUCCAGGCAGUUGAAGAUGGAUGUUACCAUGGAGGCAUCUGAGAAGCUUCGUGAGGUUCAAGAAUGUCUCAGUACUUGUCCCAGUACUAUUGUUGUUGAGUCAAUGCCACCUCCUGUACAAGAGAUGCCUGGUCCAUCUAUGUCAGCUGAGAACCUUAACCUUCAAGAUGCGCUCCACUUCAUUAAGGAUGAACCCACAGUGGGAAUGAUUGGAAUUUGGGGUCCAGGUGGAGUGGGGAAAACACAUCUUCUCAAAAACAUCAAUAAUUCAUUUGGAGAGGGCAUGGACUUUAAUUUUGUUCUCUUUGUAACUGCCUCCAAAGAGUGCUCGGUGGAAAAGGUCCAGUCGCAAAUCAUAGAAAGGUUCAAGCUGCCAAGCAGUGGUUCUAAAAGUCGUACCAUAUAUGAGUACAUGAAGACGAAAAGCUUUCUUGUACUAUUGGAUGACCUAUGGGAUGAAAUUGAUCUAGAAGAUGUUGGAAUACCAUAUCCCCUUGGAAGUGUAAACAAACUCAGUAGAAAAGUGGUGCUAACAACAAGAUUAAGAAAAGUUUGCGGCCAAAUGAAGGUGAAGAAAGAGUUAAAAGUCGCAUAUCUGCAGGAGCAUGAGGCAUGGCAGCUAUUUGAAGAAAAUAUUGAUGCCGAAACUCUUUCUAGUCCCCAUAUUGAAGAUCUUGCUAGAGAACUUAUGAAGGAACUGAAAGGCUUGCCAUUAGCUUUGAUAACUAUUGGAAAGGCAAUGUAUCAGAAAGAUGAGUAUCAAUGGGAAACUGCCAUCCAAUAUAUGAAAAAAUCAUGCUGCACUGAGGACAAAGAUCCAAUAGAACUGGGUAUGGAAACUAAUGUUUUCAGGCAGCUGAAGUUUAGUUAUGAGAAAUUAAGAAACGACACAUUAAGAUAUUGUUUUUUGACUUGUGUACUGUGGCCAGAGGAUGCGAAGAUUCGCAAAGUUGACCUUGCUCAAUGUUGGAUGGGCUUAGGUCUAGUGAAUGAGCAUGACAUAGAAUAUUCCUUCAGGAAAUCAUAUAGUUUGAUAGCUGACCUUACAGCUGCAUGUUUGCUAGAGAGCAGCGAUGUUCGCCCAGGAUCUUCCUUUGAAAAUUCACAUGGUUCUGUUAAAGUGCAUGAUGUGAUUCGUGAUAUGGCUUUAUGGAUUUCUUGUGACUAUGGUGAGAACAAUGACAAAUGGAUUGUGGCGGCACCAGGUGGCAGAGACAAAAGAAUCAUUAUCCUUUCAAACAAAGCUGAGUGCAUCUCCUUGAGUUUCAACAGAAUUCCUAUCAGGUUUAAUCUUGAUCCAUUAAAAUUGAGGAUCUUGUGCCUUCGGAACAACGAAUUGGAUGAAAGCAUUGUUGAAGAAAUUAAGAAUUGCACUUCACUGACAUAUCUGGAUUUGAGCAGAAACAACCUCAAGAGGAUACCGGAAGAAUUAUGUUCCUUGGUAAACCUGGAAUACCUUGAUUUGUCAGAAAAUGUAUUUGGGGAAAGUGGAGUGCCUCAAUCCUUUGGAAAGCUUAUCAACCUCAAGUUCUUGUACCUAAAGUCUGGUAGUGGUUACGUGAGAAUACCAAGUGGGGUCAUUUCUAGACUUAAAGCAUUGCAGGUAAUAGACUUGAGGAGUCUCUUAAGAAAAUGUACCCUAUUCCUAUUCCGGGAGUUGGGCACCCUACCUCAGUUGAAAGCGCUUGGUAUUCUGGUAAGAGAUUUAGCUCAGUUGGAGUCACUAGAAGCAGCAAACCUCCCUGUUAGAUAUUUGGCUCUAAAUGAUGUAAGUGCACUCACUCGUAUUUUAUCAACCGACUUUGCACAAAGGACCUUGUAUGAACUGGAUAUCAAUUUAGAAAGAUAUUUUCUUGAACAAGAUAUCAACGAAGAAAUCGACACUCGAGAAAUAACAGUAGAACAUGAUACGGAACAACCAAACAACCGUUUUGGUGCUCUCAACAACCUCCAUUUAACUAUGACGAGAUCCUUGAGAGAGAUAAAGUGGAUGGGAGCAACUCCAGCAUUUAUAUUCCCAAGGCUCGCUUAUUUGGAAUUGAUUAUGUGCCAACAUCUAUUGCACCUCUCUUGGGUUAUGCAUUUGCCUCGCCUUGAACAACUUCAUAUAGUUUCCUGUGAUGGCAUGGUGCAAGCAUUUAUGAGGUGCCAUGGUGACAAAUUGUGCAACGGACAGGACAAGACAAAAACAUUUCCUCGCCUCAAGCUUCUCUUUCUUAUUUAUAACGAAUCGUUGGAAACUAUUGGGGACAAUGGUAUGGAAUUCCCAUCCCUAGAGCGACUUGAGCUUGAAGGUAGUCUCGCAUUGAAGAGGCUUCCUUUCCAGUCGGACAGUGUGCCGCCAAAGUUGAAGGAGCUACGGUUUGAUGAUGCUCGAUGCUGGGAGAGACUGGAAUGCGAAGAAGGUGUCAAAACUAUCCUGCAACCCUAUCUUAAAUUUGGCAGACGACAUCAGGGUUAA